ACUUAACGGUGUGGCUCAGAGGGCACUUCCGGUGUGGACUACGUUCCCUAGGCCGGCGCGGCGGCCCGCGAGUCCCCGCCGAGUCCGCGUCUGCGCGUUUGUUCCCCCGCAAGGACGAGUGGACAGCCAGGAGGAGUCUGGAGCGGGGCCUCGCUGGGGGCGACUUGAGGGUCCUCAGAGUCCAGUCAGCACGGGGCACAUGGGCGAUCCCUGCUGCGGCCAGUCGGGUCAGAGUCUGCAAGGGAGGACACUAAGUGCGUCGGAGCCCGUCACGGGCUGCAGGGAGUGUGUUUGGAGACUUUGGUGUCGGUUCGAGAGGUGCCCAUGACACCCUGCACCUCCUUACUGCAUUUCUGGGCUUUCCUCCCUCUAGACUGCAUUUCUCAGAGGCCAUCACAAUGGCAUUUCCAUCUCUGUGCCCAAUGUGGCUUUCCUUUUGGAGCAAGGUAAAGAGCCCCAGAUGAUGAGGUGUAAGGAGACAAGAGCAUCAUGGAUGGGUGAGUCAGGGCAACCAGUAGAGGGAAAGCUGUUCACACAAAAGCCACCUGCUCCCCAAGGCUGCAGCAGCUUUAGGUUAUUAGGACAUCUCCUUUCUUAGGCCUCAGGAAAAAUGAGGCCUUUCUACUUUGACCUCUAAUGGAUCUGAUCUUCCUCUCCAUUGAUAAUUUUAUUUUAUAAUUACCUCCAGUAUAUAAGCAUGUGUGCCUUUCCUCCUUGUUUAUGAUCAGCUUUCUACAUUUAUGUUUCUCACCAGCUCAUCUUAUUGUUUUACAUAAGCUGUUUUUUGUUCAAAAACAUGCCUCAACAAUUGUUCUUUACCUAUUCAUAGAGUACCUAUUUUUUGCUGAUUGAAAAAUGAAUAAAUCCAUUUCCUCUUUUAACAAACUUUUAUUCAGUUUUAAAUUUUGGCCAAGAAUUAAGGUUGUCUAAUGGUAUCUAUCUAGUUAAGGAAUUUACUGUUUAAUGGAGAGAACUGAGAUACUCUCAAAUACCUUCUGCAAGGCAGAAACUAAGAUUAGAGACUAUUAAUUCAAUGUACUUAAUGUGGUAUUGCAGGAUCUUACCUCAUGGAAACUCAGCCUGUAGUUCAAUCAGUGGUUUCCAGGUCUGAGUACUGGAUGCAGUCUGAAAACUAGGCAAGGGAUGAUUAUUUUUCCGUGAGGUGGUCAUCAUUUAUUCCAGCCUUAUGGCCAUCAGGAUAUUAUUUGAUUAUUAAUAUAUUUAUUUAAACAAUACUCUUAUUGGCAGCAGAUAUGUGUUGCUAUCAGCAAACUCAUGCUAUAAGCCAGAUCCCUAGAUCUCUGAAGAUCAUUCCCAAGAGAAUCAGUUUCAACCUUUCUACUCACAAUGGUAAUUACAGUCUCCUUGCCUCCGAUGGCUAAGGGCUGUCACCUGGCCUCCAUUACUCUGAGAUUCUAUCAUUUCCACUGAACUAGAGAACCCAAUUCCCUAACAGCACCUCUUACAGUCUGAUCUGGCUUAGAGUACAGCCACUACUGGCCAUUUCCAUGAUGUCUGCACUCCCUCCUUAUAUGUCCUCCUCUCUGAGUCUUUUGAUUCCUUCCUCCAGUUUGUCAUGGAAGUUCUGAUAUCUCUACUUGAUUUGAGAGUCAUGGCUUUUUCCAAGUUUCAAGAAUUAUCCCAGUAUCCAUUACAAGCAUCUUUCUGCUCCCUUGCCAGGGCAUUAAUCCUGCCAUGUAGUGACCACUUAGCAAUAAACUCUCCCUUAUACAACUUUGUAUUCUACCCUCUUUGUUCAGCAGGCUCAGGAUCUCCUUACAGGUUUACUCUUCUGAUUCUUGCUGGUACAUUUUAGCCAGGCCCUGUGGCUCCUUUGGUGCCUGACUCCAUCUCUUCCCAUAGCAGGCCCAGCACUUCCCUUGGUGUUGCUAAAAUCUGACCUAUCACUGGUUGGAGAAGAUCCCAGGGAAGGUGAGCAUUGUCUGAAAAAGUGGUGCUUCAUUUAGGGCUCUGCAUAAUCUUCCACAAGAAGAGGGGUGUAGAGGGCACUGGGAAGUCUGGGGAUUCAAGGUUCUCAGAUGUAUGUACUAAGAGAAAACGAAAUCCUGACUCUCAGAAUGCCACUUCUUCCCCAUCAGGUCUUACAUUCAUCAUUUCCAUUCAAUACUGCCCUGGAGGUCACAAUAAGAUGACCGAUAAACCCCCAAAAUGAAUUGCCUAAAGACCAGAAAUGAAUAAAUUAAGCCGUUUUAUUUGCAGAUGAUAUGGUUGCUUAUAUAAAAAAAAAA